rnacentral:rRNA from 1 species
AGUAGCAGUGCAGCUGUGUUGGCCAUGCUGGUGCUCCUCGUCCUGCUGGGGAUGGGAUGCCCAGCAGCCGCUGCGACGGCAUGUACGGACUGCACAGCGCAGUGCAACUCGACCUGCAGCGCCGCCAACUUCGCUGGGGCGGGGCCUUGCGGCGCCGACUGCAGCCGGUCGCAGGCAUGCUUGGGCUGCCUCGAAGCGUACAAAUGGAAGUGCUCGGUGCACUGCAUCAGUUUUUGCAGAAGGCAAACAAGUAGUGGAUAUGAAUGUGAAGGCACUUGCGCAAGGUCUUGCAGCGACCUCACCGGCUCGUGCGGCAUCUGCGCCGAGUCCCCGACGUGCACUGCCUGUAAGGCCAACUACUCCCGUGGGUGCUCAUCCUGCUGCACCUCUUACUGCAAGUCCCACUGUGUCUAG